UCCCAUCUCUCUAAGAGAUUUGUUAUUAUUAGCGGGGUGCUAUUGUUAGAGGUGUGAAAUUACAUAAACAAGGGAUUAUUCCAUAAACAGGUAGAUUCUCUUGUUUAUGUAAUUUCACACCUCGCACCCCGCCGAGCUGAAUAUUAAUGAGCCUCUUAGAAAGAUUGUAAGACUAUACCAAGAUUGACUAAAACCACACAUUACCACGGAAUGAUAUAAUUAUUAGAUUUGUGUAAAACACAAACACCACAAAUUAUACCAGUUUGAUUAAAAAGGACAAACAAAAUAUUAAUUUAGGUUUAGAUUCGUUCGUAUUUAGAAAUUAGACAGAAUUAAAAAGAUUCAUCAUCUCUAUAAGAAAAAAAAUUACCUUUUACUAUUUUAUAUAUAGUUUAUUAGCAUAUGUUUAGACCUCUUACCAACGCUAUUCAAUUUUUAAAGAAUAAAGUAUACUCGUAUGUAUAAAUUAAUAAUUUACAACAUUUUGUACCAAUUAGCAUCUAAAUAAUAAUUUAAUUUAAUGCUGUAUUUCGUGUACAUACAGAGUCAGUUUCAAGUAGGGAACGUCCCAAUUAUCUCGUAAACGGCUUGAUUUUUCUAGAUUUUUACAUUGUUGUCACAUCUUCAGUUUUUCUGGAAAUCUAAUGAAAUUUCUUAUUUCAAAUGGAGCACCCUGUAUAUUUCUUGCCUUUUGAAGAGCUUAAGAAAUACUACUUUUCUUGUAAUGUUCCGUAUACGUAAAUGCUAUAAUUUCGGAGCUAUUUCUACAUUUACAUUAUCUUCGUCGAAGUUAAAAUAAUACAUUUAGAUGGAUAUCUGUCAGAAUAACAAAUUUGACGUUUCAAUAAAUUAGUACUAUUGGUGUUUAUUGAAAGUUACAAUGGACCGUACAUCUGAAAAAUAACGAAUUGAUAUUUUAUGGAAAUUAGGAUAGGGUGAUAUGCGUAAAAAUCAACAAGAAACGUGUAAAAUCUUGAAUAAAUUUAUAUCCUAACCGAAAUUCUAUAACAUUUGCUGUCAGUAAAUUAGUGUUAGAUCAAGGAUUUCGAUAGACAUGAAAUUAUGAUGAUUUCACGUCUAUCGUCUAUCGAAAUGAUGAUAAAAAAAGUUUCACUUCUAUCGAAAUGAUGAUGAUUUCGAUAGAUGUGAAGAGUUUGUAGACAUAAUGAUGGACAAUCAUAUUAUAUGGACAUUUUUUAAGUAAAGUUUGUCUUGAGGCAACUUUUUUAAUUAAUGAGAACGUAAAUCAUCAUAAUUGUAAAAUACUGGUCACGUAACAAUCCUCGUUGGAUGUGUGAAUAACACAAACAGUAUCGUAGGGCGUGGUUUUAUCGAAUGGCCCCCUCGAUCACCCGACAUGAAUCAGUUAGACUAUUUCAUAUGGGGUCACUUAAAAAACAUCGUUUAUAAAACACAAAACUUGCCAAUAUUUAGGAAUUAAAAAAUAGGGACUUAUAUGGACAUUUUUUAAGUAAAUUUUGUCUUGAGGCAACUUUUUUAAUUAAUGAGAACGUAAAUCAUCAUAAUUGUAAAAUACUGGUCACGUAACAAUCCUCGUUGGAUGUGUGAAUAACACAAACAGUAUCGUAGGGCGUGGUUUUAUCGAAUGGCCCCCUCGAUCACCCGACAUGAAUCAGUUAGACUAUUUCAUAUG